rnacentral:rRNA from 1 species
GACGAACGCUGGCGGCGUGCUUAACACAUGCAAGUCGAACGGAAAGGCCCUGCUUGCAGGGUACUCGAGUGGCGAACGGGCGAGUAACACGUGGGUGAUCUGCCCUGCACUUCGGGAUAAGCCUGGGAAACUGGGUCUAAUACCGGAUAGGAGCCAUUUUUAGUGUGAUGGUUGGAAAGUUUUUUCGGUGUAGGAUGAGCUCGCGGCCUAUCAGCUUGUUGGUGGGGUAAUGGCCUACCACGGCGGCGACGGGUAGCCGGCCUGAGAGGGUGGACGGCCACCUUGGGACUGCGAUACGGCCCAGACUCCUACGGGCGGCAGCAGUGGGGAAUAUUGCACAAUGGGCGCAAGCCUGAUGCAGCGACGCCGCGUGGGGGAUGCCGGCCUUCGGGUUGUAAACUCCUUUCGCUAGGGACGAAGCUUUUGUGACGGUACCUAGAUAAGAAGCACCGGCUAACUACGUG